UGCGAAGGGGACUAGCGUUGUUCGGAAUUACUGGGCGUAAAGGGCUCGUAGGUGGCCAACUAAGUCAGACGUGAAAUCCCUCAGCUUAACUGGGGAACUGCGUCUGAUACUGGAUGGCUUGAGUUUGGGAGAGGGAUGCGGAAUUCCAGGUGUAGCGGUGAAAUGCGUAGAUAUCUGGAGGAACACCGGUGGCGAAGGCGGCAUCCUGGACCAACACUGACACUGAGGAGCGAAAGCCAGGGGAGCAAACGGG
rnacentral:rRNA from 1 species